rnacentral:miRNA from 1 species
GUGUAUAUAUACACACACACAUAUAUACACAUAUAUAUAUGUGUGUGUGUGUGUGUGUGUGUGUGUGUAUAU